GACGAACGCUGGCGGCGUGCCUAACACAUGCAAGUCAAGGACUGUAGCAAUACAGGACUGGCGCACGGGUGCGGAACACGUAGGUAAUCUGCCCUUUAGGGGAGAACAACCAGCCGAAAGGUUGGCUAAAUCUCCGUAACAUCACGAUGUGGCAUCACAUUGUAAUCAAGUUUUCUAAAGGAUGAGCCUGCGUCUGAUUAGCUAGUUGGUAGUGUAANGGACUACCAAGGCUUCGAUCAGUAGCUGGUCUGAGAGGAUGAUCAGCCACAUUGGGACUGAGACACGGCCCAGACUCCUACGGGAGGCAGCAGUGAGGAAUAUUGCACAAUGGACGAAAGUCUGAUGCAGCAACGCCGCGUGAGGGAUGAAGGUGCUUUGCAUUGUAAACCUCUGUAGUCGGAGACAAACGACGGGUUAUUACCGUGUGAUGGUAUCCGAAAAGUAAGGAUCGGCUAACUACGUGCCAGCA
rnacentral:rRNA from 1 species